GUGGCUGAUCAACGAUUGAGAAUCGUUUAAGAGCUUAAUCAUCAAUUCGAUUGAUGAUUAAUCUUAUGCAAAAGUUGUAACAAAUUAAUUCAUCAAGUUUUAGUGAAUUAAUAGAGGAUUAAUUAGCAAUUAGAUUACUGAUUAGCUCAAUUUGAUUAAGCAAAGAAGAUUAAACAAAAUCUAAUUGAAUUAGAUUCAAUUAGAUUUGACCUGAUUAGGUUAUGAGAUGACCUAAUUGCUAAG
rnacentral:lncRNA from 1 species